ensembl:snRNA predicted gene, 23672
AGCUUUGCUUUGCACAGUGACAGUAUCAUAGCCAAUGAGGUUUAUCCGAGGCGCGAUUAUUGCUAAAAGACUCUAUGUUAUCAAACUUCAUUUAUGCAAAGCAUCUAAAAUA